rnacentral:lncRNA from 1 species
CGAGAACUAAACCAUCGGGGAAGAGAGAACACACAGGAAAAGCCACAGAGCAAGGGGUUGCCAGCUCUAAGAACGUGGGUAGAAAUUAAUAAGUACACUGGACUUAACUAGAGCAUUUGAGUAAAGACAUGACGGAAGACUGAGAAGGGCAGACCACAGAGCUGAGACGUGCCAGAGCUCCACCUGGGAGUUCCCGUGUCAUUUCAGAGGUGUUAAAGAGGCCUCUCUCCUGGAGUCAUGGAUCUGGACGCUAAGGCAAUUUCCCCAUCGUGGCGGCUUUAAUUGGACCAGGCUUCCUAAACAGCGUCAUUUCCCCCUCGACCAGCCCUCUCUGUGCACACAUUUAGAAAAGAGGAAGCGGGUUCAAGGGAGGGCAUUGGGAGAAAAAAAACAAAAAAAAAACCGCCUGUUGGAGAAACGGAGCUCUGAGAACUCAUCCUAAGUAGAGCAAAUAGCAGGAGGCAUGUGGAAAACUGAUUAGUGAGGAACAAAGCAGACGUUUAUUGCCCAGAGGUAGAAAGUUCACUAAUCUUCCUGCGAAACCUCUGUUUUCAUUUCCUUCUCAACUAACCUCCCUCUGGACCAAAUUUAUCACCUGUCUUAAGCUUCCAAUUGCUACAGAAACCAAAGAAGUCCAAGGACUAUGAAUGGAAUCUCAUGGGAAUUGAUCUCCCCAUUCCGCCCUGA